rnacentral:misc_RNA from 1 species
AAAUGCGAUAAGUAAUGUGAAUUGCAGAAUUCAGUGAAUCAUCGAAUCUUUGAACGCACCUUGCGCUCCUUGGUAUUCCUUGGAGCAUGCCUGUUUGAGUAUCAUGAAAUCUUCAAAGUAAAUCUUUUGUUAACUCAAUUGGUUUCUACUUUGGUAUUGGAGGUCUUUGCAGCUUCACACCUGCUCCUCUUUGUUCAUUAGCUGGAUCUCAGUGUUAUCCUUGGUUCCACUCGGCGUGAUAAGUUAUCUAUCGCUGAGGACACUGUAAAAGGUGGCCAAGGUAAAUGCAGAUGAACCGCUUCUAAUAGUCCAUUGACUUGGACAAUACUUUUAUGAUCUGAUCUCAAAUCAGGUAGGACUACCCGCUGAACUUAAGC